CUCUCUCUCUGUCUUUCUGGGUGUGUGUAUUACAAAUGACUAUGACUCUGUGGGAUUCAGUCUGCGUACAUCCUUGUUAUGCUGGGGUUCGUGCAUCUUGAGAACUGCUUUUAAAAUUGUAAAGACAUGGCAGGAGGGCAUACUGGUGAUUUCUUAGGUUCUCUUGUAUGUAUGUCAGAUUUGAUAUUCUUAUUAAUAUCACUAUUU
rnacentral:lncRNA from 1 species